rnacentral:tRNA from 1 species
GGGGUUCUAGCUCAUCGGUAGAGCGCUCGCUUAGCAUUCGAGAAAUGUCGUGCGAGAGGUACAGGAUUCGACUCCCUGGUACUCCA